UACGUAGGGUGCAAGCGUUAAUCGGAAUUACUGGGCGUAAAGCGUGCGCAGGCGGUUGUGCAAGACAGAUGUGAAAUCCCCGGGCUUAACCUGGGAACUGCAUUUGUGACUGCACAGCUGGAGUGCGGCAGAGGGGAUGGAAUUCCGGCGUGUAGCAGUGAAAUGCGUAGAUAUGCGGAGGAACACCGAUGGCGAAGGCAAUCCCCUGGGCCUGCACUGACGCUCAUGCACGAAAGCGUGGGGAGCAAACAGG
rnacentral:rRNA from 1 species